AUUGAACGCUGGCGGCAGGCCUAACACAUGCAAGUCGAGAGGUAGCACAGGAGAGCUUGCUCUCUGGGUGACGAGCGGCGGACGGGUGAGUAAUGUCUGGGAAACUGCCUGAUGGAGGGGGAUAACUACUGGAAACGGUAGCUAAUACCGCAUAACGUCGCAAGACCAAAGAGGGGGACCUUCGGGCAUCUUGCCAUCAGAUGUGCCCAGAUGGGAUUAGCUAGUAGGUGGGGUAACGGCUCAACUAGGCGACGGUCCCUAGCUGGUCUGAGAGGAUAACCAGCCAGUCGUGAACUGGGACACGGAGCAGAUGCCUGCGGGAGGCAGCAGUAGGGAAUAUUGCACAAUGGGCGCAAGCCUGAUGCAGCCAUGCCGCGUGUAGGAAUAAGGCCUUCUGGUUGUAAAGUACAUUCAGCGGGGAGUAAGGCGAUAAGGUUGAUACCCUUGUCGAUUGACGUUACCCGCAGAAGAAGCACCGGCUAACUCCGUGCCAGCCGCCGCGGUAAUAC
rnacentral:rRNA from 1 species